rnacentral:rRNA from 2 species
GCUGGCGGCGUGCCUAAUACAUGCAAGUCGAGCGAACAGAUAAGGAGCUUGCUCCUUUGACGUUAGCGGCGGACGGGUGAGUAACACGUGGGUAACCUACCUAUAAGACUGGAAUAACUCCGGGAAACCGGGGCUAAUGCCGGAUAACAUUUAGAACCGCAUGGUUCUAAAGUGAAAGAUGGUUUUGCUAUCACUUAUAGAUGGACCCGCGCCGUAUUAGCUAGUUGGUAAGGUNNNNNGCUUACCAAGGCAACGAUACGUAGCCGACCUGAGAGGGUGAUCGGCCACACUGGAACUGAGACACGGUCCAGACUCCUACGGGAGGCAGCAGUAGGGAAUCUUCCGCAAUGGGCGAAAGCCUGACGGAGCAACGCCGCGUGAGUGAUGAAGGUCUUCGGAUCGUAAAACUCUGUUAUUAGGGAAGAACAAAUGUGUAAGUAACUGUGCACNUC